GAGUUUGAUCCUGGCUCAGAGCGAACGCUGGCGGCACGCUUUACACAUGCAAGUCGAGCGAGAAAGCGGCUUCGGUCGCAAGUAUAGCGGCGGACGGGUGCGUAUAACGUGGAUAACCUGCCUUAAGGACCGGGACAACCUUGGGAAACCAAGGCUAAUACCGGAUAUGACCACGAUGUCUGAGGGCAACGGGGUAAAAGAUGACCGUUUACGGUUGUCGCCUUUUGAGGGGUCCACGUCCUAUCAGGUAGUUGGUGGGGUAAAGGCCUACCAAGCCAAAGACGGGUAGCCGGCCUUAGCGGGUGAUCGGCACACGGGGACUGAGACACGGCCCGACUCCUACGGGAGGCAGCAGUGGGGAAUAUUGGGCAAUGGGCGAAAGCCUGACCCAGCGAUGCCGCGUGAGGGAAGAAGGCCUUCGGGUUGUAAACCUAUGUCAAGAGGGACAGAAGGGUCUGCAAAUUAACCUUGCGGGCUUGACUGUACCUCCAGAGGAAGCCCCGGUUAACUCCGUGCCAGCAGCCGCGGUAUACGGAGGGGGCAGCGUUGCUCGGAAUUUACUGGGCGUAAAGAGUCCGUACGGUGGUCUUGGCAAGUUGGGAUGUGAAACGCCCGGGAGUUAAUCCCGGAUUGGAUCCAAAAUUGGUUCGAUUUGAAUCCA
rnacentral:rRNA from 1 species